rnacentral:tRNA from 1 species
UCCGGAGUAGCUCAGUGGUAGAGCGAGCGCCUGUUAAGCGCUUGGUCGCAGGUUCGAAUCCUGCCUCCGGAGCAA